AACCCAUAGUGAGGGCAUUCCCUUCGGUACUCCUUGUAACGCUCCCAAGCAUCAUAGAAAGGCUCGUCGGUCUUUUGCUUAACUUGGAGAUUUUAUGCCUCAGAGC
rnacentral:snoRNA from 1 species